CGUGGAGAGCCUAUUCCAGUGGCUAGAAGAGUGCUUGGCACAAAGAAACCACCACCUCCAGGCAAUGCAUCAAAACCAGAUAUCCACAGGCUCUGACCAAGAAGAAGACAUUUCCCUACACAGCCAGCACUCUGAAACCAGGAUUUUCAGGCGCUGUAUUUCCUUGACUGCUCAUUUUCAAGUUCAAGGAUCUGGAUGAGUCACUGAAAGCCCAGAACCCCAAGAUUUGUAAAACUACCCUGGAACUGUGAGUUAUGAAUAUAUUUAUGACUCUUAAAAAAGUAUUUCUGUUCAUUUUUACCUG